UCUGGUUAGUUAAACUAAAGAUCUUUUUCUAUAGACCAAUCCUACACAUCAUAAAAUUGCAAACAGAAUGAAUUCUCAACCAAUUUUUUAAUGAUGGAUAAGUUUAUGACGAUGCCAUAGAAUUGCCGAGUGAUCGAUCAAGUCAAGAACGAGAUAGUCAUUUAGGGGACACGAAAGGUGAGAGAUCCUUCUGAAGUCAACCAAAUCGCUCCGUAAUUUAUAUACCUCACACCUACAAUUUAUACAGCAUUAAUGUAAGCUUAUAGUUCUGCAAUUUGUACUAUUGAUUGGAUAAAUAAUGAGUUACAGAAUGGGUGAAUAUCUGAAUAUAGGAAAAGAACAUGA